rfam:Caprimulgus carolinensis contig8065, whole genome shotgun sequence.
AGACUGAUGAAGAAGGUAAAAUCUGAGGAUGCUGUGUAACUAACUACAAAGUUAAAAAGAAGUCU